rnacentral:rRNA from 1 species
UACGUAGGGGGCGAGCGUUUGUCCGGAAUCAUUGGGCGUAAAGCGCGUGUAGGCGGCUCGGUAAGUCCGCUGUAAAAGUCAAAGGCUCAACCUUUGAAUGUCAGUGGAUACUGCCGGGCUAGAGUCCGGAAGAGGCGAGUGGAACUCCUGGUGUAGCGGUGGAAUGCGCAGAUAUCAGGAAGAACACCAACGGCGAAGGCAGCUCGCUGGGACGGUACUGACGCUGAGACGCGAAAGCGUGGGGAGCGAACAGG